rnacentral:rRNA from 1 species
GACAGAGGGUGCAAACGUUGUUCGGAAUUACUGGGCGUAAAGCGUGUGUAGGCUGCUACAUAAGUCGGAUGUGAAAGCCCCGGGCUCAACCCGGGAAGUGCACUCGAUACUGCGUAGCUUGAGUCUCGGAGAGGUUGGUGGAAUUCUCGGUGUAGAGGUGAAAUUCGUAGAUAUCGAGAGGAACACCGGUGGCGAAGGCGGCCAACUGGACGAAGACUGACGCUGAGACGCGAAAGCGUGGGGAGCGAACAGG